AACGAACGCUGGCGGCGUGCCUAACACAUGCAAGUCGAACGGGGUGAGGGGCUUGCUCCUCAUCUAGUGGCGCACGGGUGCGUAACGCGUGGAUAAUCUGCCUGAUACUCUGGGAUAACAUCUCGCAUGGGGUGCUAAUACCGGAUAAGCCCACGGGCUCUUCGGAGCUUGCGGGAAAAGGCGGGGACCUUCGGGCCUUCCGAUAUCAGAUGAGUCCGCGUCCCAUUAGUUAGUUGGUAGGGUAAAGGCCUACCAAGGCGACGAUGGGUAGCUGGUCUGAUAGGAUGAUCAGCCACACUGGAACUGAGACACGGUCCAGACUCCUACGGGAGGCGUCAGGGGGGAAUUUUGCGCAAUGGGGGAAACCCUGACGCAGCAACGCCGCGUGAGGGAUGAAGGCCCUUGGGUCGUAAAGCUCUGUCAGAGGGAAAGAAAUGUGGGCGGCUAAUAUCCGUACCACUUGACGGUACCCUCAAAGGAAGCACCGGCUAACUCCGUGCCAGCCGCCGCAGUAACAC
rnacentral:rRNA from 1 species